GCUUGUCUCAAAGAUUAAGCCAUGCAUGUCUCAGCAUAAGCUUUAAUACGGUGAAGCUGCAAAUGGCUCAUUAAAGCAGUUACAAUUUAUUUGAUGGUUGCUGUUACAUGGAUAACUGUGGUAAUUCUAGAGCUAAUACAUGCAGGAAGACCCGACUCACGAAGGGUUGUAUUUAUUAGAUAAGAAACCUUCCCCUUUGGGUUGCGUGCCGAGUCACAAUAACUGCUCGAAUCGCAUGGCUUCACGCCGGCGAUGGUUCAUUCAAAUUUCUGCCCUAUCAGCUUUCGAUGGUAGGAUCGAGGCCUACCAUGGCGUUUACGGGUAACGGAGAAUUAGGGUUCGAUUCCGGAGAGGGAGCCUGAGAGAUGGCUACCACAUCCAAGGAAGGCAGCAGG
rnacentral:rRNA from 1 species